rnacentral:rRNA from 1 species
UACGUAGGGGGCUAGCGUUGUCCGGAUUUAUUGGGCGUAAAGAGCGUGUAGGCGGCCAGGUAGGUCUGCUGUGAAAACUCGAGGCUCAACCUCGAGACGUCGGCGGAAACCAUCUGGCUAGGAGUCCGGAAGAGGAGAGUGGAAUUCCUGGUGUAGCGGUGAAAUGCGCAGAUAUCAGGAAGAACACCCGUGGCGAAGGCGGCUCUCUGGGACGGUACUGACGCUGAGACGCGGAAAGCGUGGGGAGCGAACAGG